GGGCCCGUAGCUCAGCUGGAUAGAGCGCUUGCCUCCGGAGCAAGAGGUCGUGAGUUCGAAUCUCGCCGGGCCCG
rnacentral:tRNA from 1 species